UACGUAGGGGGCUAGCGUUGUCCGGAAUCAUUGGGCGUAAAGCGCAUGUAGGCGGCCGAGCAGGUCGGAUGUGAAAGCCCUUGGCUCAACCAAGGAAGUGCAUUCGAAACCGCUCGGCUCGAGUCCCGGAGAGGAAGUUGGAAUUCUCGGUGUAGAGGUGAAAUUCGUAGAUAUCGGGAGGAACACCGGCGGCGAAAGCGGACUUCUGGACGAGGACUGACGCUGAGAUGCGAAAGCGUGGGGAGCAAACAGG
rnacentral:rRNA from 1 species